GGCGAACGCUGGCGGCGUGCUUAACACAUGCAAGUCGAGCGGUAAGGCCCUUUCGGGGGUACACGAGCGGCGAACGGGUGAGUAACACGUGGGUGACCUGCCCUCAGCUCUGGGAUAAGCCCGGGAAACUGGGUCUAAUACCGGAUAUGACUUCAUGACGCAUGUUGUGGAGUGGAAAGCCUUGUGCGGCUGAGGAUGGGCCCGCGGCCUAUCAGCUUGUUGGUGGGGNGAUGGCCUACCAAGGCGACGACGGGUAGCCGGCCUGAGAGGGCGACCGGCCACACUGGGACUGAGAUACGGCCCAGACUCCUACGGGAGGCAGCAGGU
rnacentral:rRNA from 1 species